CCCUGUUUUGGAGAGUGGCGUAUAUAGAGCCUACGGCUCUGAAGACGCCAUUACCUUGACAGGAGGCCGAGGAAGAAGAAGAGUAGGAGUCACGUGGUUUUUUUUUUUGGAGCAGAAAGAAGAUGGCGGAUUCGUUUUCGGAAUUUCUCUGUGCGGCUGGUGUGGAGGACAGCUCGGACGAAGAGUGCGGUGAUAAUAAGACGAAUACUCGAAUUCGACAGUCUGCUGUUCAGCCGCAGACAAUAAUAUCAAAGGUUCCUGUUUGGGAGGGGAAUAAGGAUGAGACGAGCGUCCUGUCUCGAGGCCCAACAAAGCCUCAGAAUGGCCUCCCACAGAUUUCAGCAAUCUUUCCCAAGAUUGAUCAUGGAGCAAAUGCAACUGCAAGAGGAAACUUCCCACAUCUUGCAAACUUUUGGAAGAAACGGAGAAGCCAGGAGGAACUGGUUGUGAUUGACCAACAACAUUCUUCAACAACUAUGAUCAAGGAGAUUAGCCUUGAGCAAGAAUCUCCACAACAGCCUUUAGAGGAAAUGAGGACAGCAGUGAUGAGUGGCAAUGUGGCCAAGAUACAGAGCUGGCUUGUUUCUGGUAAGUAUCUGCAAUCUUUAGCAGACACAUCCCAUUGUAGAACCGUACAUGAUCAAUGUCACACAGGCACACAUAUGUACACUCG
rnacentral:lncRNA from 1 species